AUGAAACAACCUGGGUGUGAAGAGUUAAACGGCGGUGGUGGACGAUAUUGUAUGUUAGUGCAGUCCCUCGUGGUGGUUCGAUCGAGAUCUAUGGCGACGGUGGUUCCGAUCAUGUCUUGCACAGAAAUCGGCCAGGCUGUCCGCGACGGUGCGUUGGAGAUUGUUGCUUCUUCGACUGAGAAUUUUCGGCCUCCAAAACAGUUUUUACUCCCUCCCUAA